AACGAACGCUGGCGGCAUGCCUAACACAUGCAAGUCGAACGGGACCUCCGGGACUCUUGCCGCCCGGGCGCGUAGCGGGGGGGAGCCGGGCCAUAGAUCCGGACUAACCCCCCGAAGGGGGUGAUAAUGCCGGAAAAUGUGUUCGGACCAAAGAUUUUUCGCCUUGGGAUGGGCCCGCGUUGGUUUCGCUAGUUGGUAGGGUAAAAGCCUACCAAGGCGACGAUCCAUAGCUGGUCUGUGAGACUGAUCAGCCACACUGGGACUGGGACACGGCCCAGACUCCUACGCGAUGCAGCAGUGGGGAAUAUUGGACAAUGGGCGAAAGCCUGAUCCAGCAAUGCCGCGUGAGUGAUGAAGGCCUUAGGGUUGUAAAGCUCUUUUACCCGGGAUGAUAAUGACAGUACCGGGAGAAUAAGCUCCGGCUAACUCCGUG
rnacentral:rRNA from 1 species